GGUCCAGAGAUUUAAUUCAGACAACAUCAAUUUGUAAACUCAAAAUAGUGUGUCUAUUUUUGUUUUUUUUGGCAAAGCUGUAGACAAAACAGUAUGCAAUUGAACAGAGACUUAUUAAUGAAAUCAAUCUCCCGAAACUUUUAGAAUUAUCAAUUUCGCUAACAAAUUCUUCAAUUAUUCAUGCUCCGCUAUUCAUGUCAAAUCCGAAAGGCAGAUGAGGGAGAAUAUUUAGAAUUUUUUAUUAUCAUGCUCCAUCUAAGCGGAUUCAGAUUAACUUCACAAAAGAGAAAGCAAUUUUAUUUGCGCAGUAUUGAUCUUGAGCUGAGCUGCAGAACAGUAAGCUUUUGAAGUAAUUUAGUUUAAACAACAUGACCAUUUGACCAAUACAGACAGAAUCAACGCCCAAGUCCAGCAACCUUACUGUUCAGCCUAUAUUCAUAUAUCUUUCUUUUUCUGCAGGGAACUAUAUUCAUAUAUCACUAGACUUGUUCAUGGAUCACAAUCCAGCAACCUAAUCGCAACAAAAUUAAACCAAAUUAUGACGAAUCCAACAUCCUAACAAUUUUUUUUUUUUGAGAAACUCCUAACAAAUAAAUCAUCCAGCCCAAACUAUAAUCAACCAUCGAAGCACAUUGAGGUGACAGCCUAACAGGCCAGCGGCCCAGGUUAGAAAAUCUAACAGCAAACCGAUUAAACUAGGCCCAGGCAUGCCAGUGAGGCAGUGAAUCAAUCAGAUCGGGAAAAACGAAUCGUACGCCUUCGUCUCGACGGCACGCGCGAUCUCCAGAGCCAGCUAUCCACCGCACGGGGCC
rnacentral:lncRNA from 1 species